UACCCGGUUCCGCCGCCGCCGUCGUGGUUGUCGGCGCCUCCACGACUUCCUCUUUCCCCCUGUCUCAAACCCACAACUUGUGCUCCCUCUCCCUUUCGUUCCUAACUGUGGUUCUUCUCAACCCCCUGUUCGCACUUUGCUCUCUUCUUCCUCGCUCGGCGUCCAUCUUCCAUCGUCUUCGUCCUGCGCGCCGCCGUCUUGUCGCCCCUGUUCCCGAUUCUAGGGUUUCUCCCGUUCGUGAUUCGAUUUGGGAACUUGAGGUGCUAAGGUUUCUGCGCCCUGCCAAAUUUGAUUCUUUCUUCCUCCUCCUCUGAGAAUUCAAGAUGUUUUGGUGCUUGGCUGGCUUGUCUACUGCAUCUCCUAGUGAUCAAAGCUUUGCCAUGAUGGAAGUAUUAAUCAAGAAGCAGUUGCUGAUAACAAUGCAUCUGUGAGUAAUAAUUCACUUGCCAAGAAGCUCUUUGUAAUUUCAGUUAUGUUUUUAACUUUGUAAUUGCUGUU